UAGAGCCCUGCUUCUGCCAGAGCAGCUGGAGGGCUGGGUACUGGCUGGGAGCAGAGCCCAUGCAAGGGCUUUAUCAUUUUCGACUUGUCCCCAUUAAAAGCACGUACAGGGAUUAUCUCUGAUUUUCACCUGAGUUUUCCAGGAUAGAAUUUCCAGGUCGAACGCCCUCAGGAUUUACAAAGUGACAGGGUAGGUGAAUGCCAGCAUUUUGCUGCCAGCAGACUUGAGGUAGAGGAGGAUCCCACAGGACUGAUAAAUCUCACCUACUGCUGAAGCCAAAGGAGAAAGUCUGACAUCUUGGGUUCAAGAAUCAGAACAGGGAUUCCAGCAAAAACUCACUGCAUGAAGAUGCCUGCUAUGCCAUGGUUGUGUGGAAGCUUUCUGUGGAAGAAGAGGGGAAAAGGAAGAAAUGCUGUUGGCACACUUGAAUUCAGUGAUGCGGUGCCCAAGCGCUGGGCUAUAGCACUUACUACACUGAUGUGAGAAAGUCAAAGUGCAUCAAAUGGUAAAAGGCAAUAUGAAAUAAAAGCCCUUAGAUCAGCUGUAUCUCAUUUGUUUCUUUCCU